rnacentral:rRNA from 1 species
UACAGAGGGUGCGAGCGUUAAUCGGAAUUACUGGGCGUAAAGCGUGCGCAGGCGGUUUUGUAAGACAGAGGUGAAAUCCCCGGGCUUAACCUGGGAACUGCCUUUGUGACUGCAAGGCUUGAGUGCGGCAGAGGGGGAUGGAAUUCCGCGUGUAGCAGUGAAAUGCGUAGAUAUGCGGAGGAACACCGAUGGCGAAGGCAGUCCCCUGGGCCUGUACUGACGCUCAUGCACGAAAGCGUGGGGAGCAAACAGG